UCAUACAAGAGACCCAAAUCAAUAAUCAUCGGCGUAAAGAGUGACUAUACGUUAUCAUCAUUAACUAAGAUCAAAAUGUAACUAAGCUGUCACAAGCCUAAGAUCCACCAAAGCUCAACCCAACAUCUUAGAUCCAACGAUUAACUUUAACUCACGAAAGCCAGGACACAAACUGGGAUUAGAUACCCCACUAUGCCUAGCCCUAAAUCCAGAUACCCACCCACACUAAAGUAUCCGCCCGAGAACUACGAGCACAAACGCUUAAAACUCUAAGGACUUGGCGGUGCCCCAAACCCACCUAGAGGAGCCUGUUCUAUAACCGAUAACCCACGAUCCACCCAACCACCCCUUGCCAACACAGCCUACAUACCGCCGUCGCCAGCCCACCUCCCAUGAGAGAAUAAUAGUGCGCUCAAUAGUCCCCCACUAACAAGACAGGUCAAGGUAUAGCCUAUGGGGUGGCAGAAAUGGGCUACAUUCUCUAUCAUAGAGCAUCAACGAAAGGACAUGAAAAUCCGUCCUUAGAAGGAGGAUUUAGCAGUAAAGUAAGAUCAUUUCCAGCCUACUUUAAGCCGGCUCUGGAGCACGUACAUACCGCCCGUCACCCUCUUCACAAGCCACUUCUGCCCAUAAAUAAUAAACCCACCCACCAAGGCUAAAGACGAGGCAAGUGUAACAA
rnacentral:rRNA from 1 species